CAGUAGCCGCGGUAAUACGUAGGGUGCGAGCGUUAAUCAGAAUUACUGGGCGUAAAGCGUGCGCAGGCGGUUGUGUAAGACAGGUGUGAAAUCCCCGGGCUUAACCUGGGAACUGCGCUUGUGACUGCACAGCUAGAGUAUGGCAGAGGGGGGUGGAAUUCCACGUGUAGCAGUGAAAUGCGUAGAGAUGUGGAGGAACACCGAUGGCGAAGGCAGCCCCCUGGGCCAAUACUGACGCUCAUGCACGAAAGCGUGGGGAGCAAACAGGAUUAGAUACCCCCGUAGUCCCUGUCUCUUAUAC
rnacentral:rRNA from 1 species